rnacentral:rRNA from 1 species
UGGGGAAUAUUGCACAAUGGAGGGAACUCUGAUGCAGCGACGCCGCGUGAACGAAGAAGGCUUUCGAGUCGUAAAGUUCUUUUAUAUGGGAAGAUAAUGACGGUACCAUAAGAAAAAGCCCCGGCUAACUACGUGCCAGCAGCCGCGGUAAUACGUAGGGGGCUAGCGUUGUCCGGAAUCACUGGGCGUAAAGGGUUCGCAGGCGGAAAUGCAAGUCAGGUGUAAAAGGCAGUAGCUUAACUACUGUAAGCAUUUGAAACUGCAUAUCUUGAGAAGAGUAGAGGUAAGUGGAAAUUUUAGUGUAGCGGUGGAAUGCGUAGGUAUUAAAAAGAAUACCGGUGGCGAAGGCGACUUACUGGGCUCAUUCUGACGCUGAGGAACGAAAGCGUGGGUAGCAAACAGG